rnacentral:rRNA from 1 species
CAGCCGCCGCGGUAAUACAGAGGAUGCAAGUGUUAUCCGGAAUGAUUGGGCGUAAAGGAGCGCAGGCGGACAUAUAAGUCCAUCUUAAAAGUGCGGGGCUCAACCCCGUGAGGGGAUGGAAACUGUAUGCCUUGAGUACAGGAGAGGAAAGCGGAAUUCCCAGUGUAGCGGUGAAAUGCGUAGAUAUUGGGAGGAACACCAGUGGCGAAGGCGGCUUUCUGGACUGCAACUGACGCUGAGGCUCGAAAGCCAGGGGAGCGAACGGGAUUAGAUACCCCAGUAGUCCCUGUCUCUUAUACAC